AUGCCAUCUUGGCAGCGUCAACAAACAGAAAUCCAGAGAUUGACUUCUAGUUGGGAAUCGGUCACGAUAAUCCUCAAUCUAGGUGCGUUGCAUAGAUUGAUAAGGAAGAGGCCCGAAGACACGGGGAUGAUGAUGAAGUGUUGGGAAUAUUUGCAGAGAAUUCCUAGAGAGGAUGAAGAUGUUGUGAUGGUUGUUGAUUGA